UAAGUUUUCAUCACAGAAUUUAUAUAUUAUAGUUAUAACCUGAGACCAGCUGUUGUUGAUAUAUAAACAUAAUCCUCCACCCUUUGUUUUACCUGAUGUCUCUUCAAUUCUGUUUGACCUAAAUAUCUGAAAUCCUGGGAUGUAUAUGCUGUUGUCAUCAUGAAUUUCUGCAUUAAGGCAGGUUUCAGUAAAACAGAGAACUGCUGAAUUGUAGAAAUCAGAAUUGCAUCUAUUUAAAAGAUGUAUUUCAUCCAUCUUGAUAGCAAGGAUGACUGAUGAGCU